rnacentral:rRNA from 1 species
GACGAACGCUGGCGGCGUGCUUAACACAUGCAAGUCGAGCGGUAAGGCCCUUUCGGGGGUACACGAGCGGCGAACGGGUGAGUAACACGUGGGUGACCUGCCCUUACGCUCUGGGAUAAGCCUGGGAAACUGGGUCUAAUACCGGAUAUGACUCCAUAACGCAUGUUGUGGGGUGGAAAGCCUUGUGCGGCUAGGGAUGGGCCCGCGGCCUAUCAGCUUGUUGGUGGGGUGAUGGCCUACCAAGGCGACGACGGGUAGCCGGCCUGAGAGGGCGACCGGCCACACUGGGACUGAGACACGGCCCAGACUCCUACGGGAGGCAGCAGUGGGGAAUCUUGCGCAAUGGGCGAAAGCCUGACGCAGCGACGCCGCGU